CCUACGGGGGGCAGCAGUGGGGAAUAUUGCACAAUGGGCGAAAGCCUGAUGCAGCAACGCCGCGUGAGUGAUGAAGGCCUUCGGGUCGUAAAGCUCUUUGAUCAGGGAUGAUAAUGACAGUACCUGAAAAACAAGCCACGGCUAACUACGUGCCAGCAGCCGCGGUAAUACGUAGGUGGCGAGCGUUGUCCGGAAUUACUGGGCGUAAAGGAUGCGUAGGUGGAUACUUAAGUGGGAUGUGAAAUCCCCGGGCUCAACCCGGGAACUGCAUUCCA
rnacentral:rRNA from 1 species